AAGCCAGUCGAUGAAUCUGCUUACCUCACUUUGUUUCUGCAGAGAUGUCUUUUAUCUGGCAAUAGUAAUGCCAUAUUACGAGCCUUAAUAACAUUGAGGUCAUUAAGGUUCCUGAAAGUGGCUAUAUAU